AGUGGUGCCGUUUUGCUGAUUCGCCGUUACGCCGCAGCGCUGCAUUUUCAGUUCGGUUUCGUGCAUUAACGUGUAAGGACGUUCGAAUAACGGUGGCCGUAUAUUGGAAAUUCGGCAUUUCGUGUUGUUUGAGUGUGUUCGAUUAGAAAAAAAUAUUGAAAUAAUGCAAGCAAUCACGUUUAGACAACUAAUUUGAAGCAACAAAAAUCUGUGUAAAUAACAGUUCCAUGUUAAAAAAAUAAAAUUAAACCACUUGACGAAAAAUAAAAUUACGGAAGCGUUUUGUUGUGCUGCGGUACGCGACACAGCAUCCGUAAACGCGUUCAUUGUGUUUGAGAAGCGGCAGACACAUGCCAGUAAAACGCCUCCUCCGCCUGAAUGCAAAUCGAAGAAAAUUCGUUCUUGCCGCGCCACAAAUACAAAAUGAUAAAAUUGAUGAAUGAAUGAAGCGCCAACGUAUUUUUCUUACAAUACUGUUGAAGAAUUGAUGGCAAAUUAGAUCUCUCACCUUCGCCAAAGACAAAUCAUAAGAAAUUCUCUGAGUACGUGCUACUCAAAAGCAAUUUAAAAAAUUAAGAUAUAAAUUUUAUGAGUUUUUCGCCAGCGAAGGUCGCGUCAAAGGUCAAAUCAUACCAAAAAGCAAGUGUGUACCAAAAAAGGUGUACAAAUAUAUAUGUAUAUGUAAUUCAAAUGCAAAUUUUAAUAUUGUAACUAAAAAUUGCAAAAUGUGCGGUAUUGUAUAAAUUACAAACAAAACACAUAACGGUUCCCGUAAAAAUUUUGCGCUAGUAGUAAUAAAAGCAUAUUUAUUUACGACACUAAGUGGAAAACAUGUGCAAAAAUAUAUACAAACAAAAGUGAAACAGAAAUAAAUAGUAUUUACACGCGUAAUCACUGCCGUAGUCUUCACCAGCAUCAGCCCAACACUGCCUCAAGGAGCAGCCGCCGUUCCAAACAGCAAACUCCGCGCAUUUGAUGCUCUACGCCUUUACGCCCAAUUGCCGCGACGCUGUUGGGCAUUCCCGACAUUGGCAGUGGCACUGACUUGCGUCAACAAGAAAAAAAUAACAAAAGCUCACAAACCAAGUGCAAAGGAGCAACAUCCUCUUCUUCAGUCGGCGUGUCCUAGAUGUAAGUG